UGGGCAUUUGGGAAGCUGGAAAACAGGAUUUGCUGGGCAAGCUGACUGGGAACGAUACAAGGAUGGCUUGGAGAUUGCUCUUAGGUGAUUUCCAUCAUCGGAGACCUUGCAUUACACAGAACUCCAUAUUGGGGUCUACGAUCAGAAAACAUCUUCAGAAGAAGCCUUCGGACUUCACCCUCAGAAAGGCAGAUUUCCACUUUGGAGAUCACGUCAUCCUCCUUCCUGUGAAAAUAAUAUGAACCAGAAGGUGUUAAUUUUCCUUCUCCCAAACUUGUUUUUUGGGAUAUUUCUUUUGGGGUUUUUCUAUAAGAGACAAAAAAACCUAACAGGUACUUUUCCUGAUGCCAGUGAAGAUUGGCUGGCAAUUCAAAAUGAUCGCAAAAGCACACUGGCUUCAGUCUGCCAGAAGCAAAAUCUUGUUAAAUUAAGCAGCAAAUUGAAUUCUCAUGUUGCAAGCCAGCUCUUUGUGGAGCACAAACAUAGAUUUAUCUACUGUGAGGUGCCCAAGGUAGGCUGCUCCAACUGGAAGAGAACUAUUUUUAUUCUCCAAGCAGACAUGAAGGCAGAGGCUUCUGAAAUUGAGCAUGACCACAUCCAUCAAACCUCGGUGAUCAAAAAGGUGGUGGCUUACCCUCCUGCCAUACAAAAGGACUUUCUGAACAAUUACACCAAAGUGAUGUUCACCAGGCAUCCCUUGGAACGGCUGGUUUCAGCUUACAGAGACAAACUUCUGCACUCUGAGCCAUUGUACAGUAUCACUAUUGCUAAUGAGAUUAGGGCAAUGUUCAGGAAAAACAAAAAUUCUUCUGAAAAAGUAAGUUUCCAGGAGUUUGUCAGCUUCAUUACAGCGAACCCACCAAAUAGUCUUGACAAUCACUGGAAACCAAUGUUUCUGCUCUGUGAUCCUUGCAACAUUCCCUAUGAUAUUCUGGGUAAGUAUGAAACUCUUGGGUUAGAUUCUGAGCAUGUUCUGAAGGUCAUUGGAGCACCAGAGAGCCUGCACUACCCCAGCUUGAAGAGGUAUGGCUCAGAGAAACGAACUAAUGGUGAUAUCACCUUGGAGUAUCUCAGACAACUAACCUCAGAACAAAUUGAGAAAAUAAAAAAAUUGUAUCAAAUGGAUUUUUUCUUAUUCAACUAUACUAUGAAAUAUGAGGAUUAUUUUUCCCUGAAUGACUAAUGUAGGUUACACAAAGAACAGUUUACUUUUUACAAAAUGGGCUGAACUUGUCCUCACAGGUGCUUGAUAGGUGGGUUAGUGACUGCUGCUGAGAUUUUACUGGUGUUUGGAGACAUGAUUUAUCUUGCUAAGCACUCUUAUAACAAAUCCCUGCCAUGAUCUGUUGUACUGUACAGUAUUUUAUGUAUAGAAAAUUAUUGUUUUCCUGUUGAUCAUUAA